AAACAAGUCCCCUUGACAGAGGUUCCACAGAAGGUGCAAGUCCUGUACGUUGAGAUAAUUGAUCGAUAUUUGCGUGCUUUAGAGUCGGGUUGUUUGGGAUCGCAGCCCAAAGUCGGUGGUAAACUUCAUCUAAGACUUAAUAUUGCCACGAGACCGAUAGCAAACAAGUACUGUGAAGGAAAGUUGCAAAGCACUUUGAAGAGAGAGUUAAAGAGGACGUGAAACCGGURAGGUGGAAACGGAUAGAGUCGGCGUAUCAUUCAAKUAUUCAKUUACAUUAUUUUUAUGUUGUGAYCUCUGAGCUCCAGAUUGGGACAGAGGGAAKCAGCAUAAUUUUYUGUGRUGCAUUUACUUGWUUGGUGCUUGGGGAUGUUUGAGGCAGAUUUGUKUCCGYCGUUUUGAGGCCAGCUUGCUGGUACCCAAACGGUGUUAGCAUUUUUUGUCUUGGRCAUUUGAGUAUGGCUYACGUGYAUUUAUUGGWYAGAUCUGAGUGUAAGUUACGGUCGCAUGCGACACGUGCUUUUCAAUUAGUUCGGUCCAGUUAAUGCUCUCGUACUCGUUCCCCAUGUAAAAGCCGGUCAUCUAUCCGACCCGUCUUGAAACACGGACCAAGGAGUUUAUCGUGUGCGCAAGUUUUUGGGUGUUAAAAACYUAAAAGCGAAAUGAAAGUAAAUGRCUCUUUAGAGUCUGAUGUGCGAUCUUGUAAAAAAGUGYAGCAUGGCCCCAUUCUAACUGUUUACAGUAGGGUGGCGGAAGAGCGUACGCGGUGAGACCCGAAAGAUGGUGAACUAUUCCUGAGCAGGACGAAGCCAGAGGAAACUCUGGUGGAAGUCCGAAGCGGUUCUGACGUGCAAAUCGAUCGUCUGACU
rnacentral:rRNA from 1 species